rnacentral:snoRNA from 1 species
AUACCAUGAUAAGGACAUCUCCUGAGUAGCUCUUUGAAUCUUUCUUCAUGCAUCAUAAACUCUCAUCUUCAAGUUGAUGGAAAUAUGUGAUCUCAUUCCUCAAUUU